rnacentral:rRNA from 1 species
GACGAACGCUGGCGGCGUGCUUAACACAUGCAAGUCGAAGAUAGUGGCGAACGGGUGAGUAAUACGUAGUAACCUGCCCUCAUUUGUGGGAUAAGCCUUGGAAACGGGGGCUAAUACAGACAAAGGGGGAUGGGCUCGCGGCCUAUGAGCUUGUUGGUGGGGUGAUGGCCUCCCAGGGCGGUGACGGGUAGCCGGCCUGAGCGGGUGACCGGCCACUGUGGUACUGAGAAACGGUCCAGACUCCUACGGGAGGCAGCAGUGGGGAAUAUUGGACAAUGGGCGAAAUCCUGAUCCAGCCAUGCCGCGUGUGUGAAGAAGGUCUGCGGAUUUUAAAGCACUUUAAGUUGGGAGGCGUUACCAACAGAAUAAGCACCGGCUAACUUCGUGCCAGCAGCCGCGGUAAUUC